UCGGUACCAAAGGAACACCAUUUUUAUAGUGUCCAAAGGCAAAUAUCUAUACAAAUUCUCCCAUCUUUAUCCCAUAUUCAAAGCUUAUCAUCGGAGCACCUAAUAUCCACAAUUUUUUUUUGUUGUGUAACUUACACAACCACAUAAAAUGACCCUUGUACCCCUCGUCCAAGAAUUAUUUUCCCUAUGUGUCCUUCAAGUUUAAUCAACUCAAAUUAUCAAAUAACCUCUUUUUUCUCUCAGAUCUGUUUUGACAAAAAAUAACCAAGCCCUCUUGAAGAAGAUGAUCUCCGCGGCGGCGCAUGGCGGCAAUGUCGCCGGAGAAGAACUGAGGGUUGGAACCUCUUCUCCUCGUGGUGGGGGUCAUCGUGGCGGUGUUCGUUUCUUUAAAAGCCGUAGGAAUCAACCUGUAAAAGCCAUUUACAGGUGGUGGCGGUGGCGGCGGACGGCGGCGGAACGACGAUCUGACUUAUGGGUUUUUCUGCGGACCGCGAGGGAAAUACGAUGGUGGUGGUGAUUUCUUCAGAUGGUUUGUGGUUUGGCCGGGAUCGGAGAGAGAAGAUCGCGGUUUUAGCCAUGCAUCAGAGGAGAAGAAGCCAGAGUGGUAGAGGUUAACAGCAGAUCUGGCGGCGAUGGUGAUUGUUUAUGUUUCUGUCAUUAUUCCAAGUCUAGAAAGCCCAAAAUCAACAACCUUUGAUAUGAAAUUCUGGACCCAAAGUAUGUUGCUUCGUUUAAUAUCUCCAUCUGGGCGAAAGCACAAGUUCGCACCAAGAAAGCCCAAACCCCAGGCAAAGCCACCUAAAAUGUAAUCACUUGGAAAUCAAAGCUUUAUUAGUUUCA